CGUGUAGGCGGCCAGGUAGGUGGGUUGUGAAAACUGGAGGCUCAACCUUCAGACGUCGACCCAAACCCCCUGGCUAGAGUCCGGAAGAGGAGAGUGGAAUUCCUGGUGUAGCGGUGAAAUGCGCAGAUAUCAGGAAGAACACCCGUGGCGAAGGCGGCUCUCUGGGACGGUACUGACGCUGAGACGCGAAAGCGUGGGGAGCGAACAGGAUUAGAUACCCUGGUAGUCCACGCCGUAAACGAUGGGUGCUAGGUGUGGGGGGUGUCGACUCCCCCCGUGCCGAAGCUAACGCAUUAAGCACCCCGCCUGGGGAGUACGGCCGCAAGGCUAAA
rnacentral:rRNA from 1 species